CCKCAMUAUCUUKACUKUGCUAAGGUAGCAUAAUCAUUAGUUUSSSAAUUNGAGACUUGUAUGAAAGGUUNAAUGAGAAAACUCUGUCUCUGUUUAAUUUUAAUAGAAUUUUAUUUUUAAGUAAAAAAGCUUAAUUGAUUUUGAAAGACGAUAAGACCCUAUAGAGUUUAAUUAAUUUAUAAAUAAUUUUAUAUUGGAAAAUAUUUUGAUUUGUUUAGUUUUAAUUUGGUUGGGGUGAUUAAAAAAUAAAUUUAACUUUUUUUAUAUUAAACAUAGAUUUAUGAAUAUUUGAUCCAUUGAUAUUGAUUGUNAGAUUUAAUUACCUUAGGGAUAACAGCGUAAUUUUUUUUGAGAGMUU
rnacentral:rRNA from 1 species